UACGUAGGGGGCAAGCGUUGUCCGGAAUCAUUGGGCGUAAAGCGCGUGUAGGCGGCUCGGUAAGUCCGCUGUGAAAGUCUAGGGCUCAACCCUGGAAUGCCGGUGGAUACUGUCGGGCUCGAGUCCGGAAGAGGCGAGUGGAAUUCCUGGUGUAGCGGUGAAAUGCGCAGAUAUCAGGAGGAACACCGAUGGCGAAGGCAGCUCGCUGGGACGUGACUGACGCUGAGACGCGAAAGCGUGGGGAGCAAACAGG
rnacentral:rRNA from 1 species